AAUACACCAAAGGGAAACCCGAGGUGUGGAGGAGAAAUGCAUCUGACCGGUACAAAAGCUGGCGCUCGCAAGAGCAGCGUGUAUGGAUGAACUAGGUUAAAAUUGUAAUAGCGUAGCAGUCUUGCACUGGCGCUAGGCUGUGUGAAUUUCUGCCCUAUCAGCUUUCGAUGGUAGUGCAGUGGACUACCAUGGCAUCUACGGGUAACGAGGAAUCAGGGUUUGAUUUCGGAGAGGGAGCUCUAGAAACGGCUACCACAUCUAAGGAAGGCAGCAGGCGCGCAAAUUGCCCAAUACCAGCACUGGUGAGGCAGCGACGAACAAUAACAACUCCGCACACUUCGGUUUGUGGAGAUUGUAAUGGACGGUAUCCAAAA
rnacentral:rRNA from 1 species